UACGUAGGGUGCAAGCGUUAAUCGGAAUACUGGGCGUAAAGCGUGCGCAGGCGGUGAUGUAAGACAGAUGUGAAAUCCCCGGAUUCAACCUGGGAACUGCAUUUGUGACUGCAUCGCUGGAGUGCGGCAGAGGGGGAUGGAAUUCCGCGUGUAGCAGUGAAGUGCGUAGAUAUGCGGAGGAACACCGAUGGCGAAGGCAAUCCCCUGGGCCUGCACUGACGCUCAUGCACGAAAGCGUGGGGAGCAAACAGGAU
rnacentral:rRNA from 1 species